GCCCAGGUGGCGGAAUUGGUAGACGCGCACGGUUCAGGUCCGUGUGCCGCAAGGUGUGAAGGUUCGAGUCCUUUCCUGGGCA
rfam:Rhodobacter sp. SW2 ctg00047, whole genome shotgun sequence.